rnacentral:lncRNA from 1 species
UACGAUGAGAGAGGUGAUUAAUUGCAGCCGGAUUAGUAGGAGUAAGAGAUAAACGGCAUCAACGAGCUUUAGCUUUCAUGUGGAUGUGACAUCAACGAGCCAAAGCCUACUUCCCAACUAUAGAAGUAAGACGCCAUUAAUAAAGAGGUCAGACCAGCAAGCUCGCCUGCUACUGUAAGACUGGGAGCUCCAUAAAUGGAAGCUUUCUACUACAUCGUACGUAGAUUCCCAUCCCAUGUAGUAUUGCCUCAGAGGUUGGAAGAGGACGCUGCGAGAGGGUCAAGUCCUCCGAUCCUUAUAACCAUGUGGAAGAUGAAAGAACUUGAUUUUUCUUGACAUGACCGGCGAAAGUUUUGCUGGUUUCCAGCAUCACCUAUCGCCCCAAAGCGUUCGAGGACAAUAAUCGAUUGUGUUUUCAUUCAUGUAGAUGGCAUUCGGAAAAGGUGUGCUUAGUGCGGCGAAACUAAUCAACAUCCAAUCUUUGGCGAGGAAAAAAGGAGCAAGGAAAGCAGCAAAUUGUUGGGGGUGAGCAGUGCGGCACUGUGGCCAAAGGAGAAAAGGAAAAUCCGAACAAAUGUAAUGUAACAGCGGCCAUGGAAAUGAUCAUCAAAUCAAAAGCACAUGCAACCGCGGAAGCACAGUGAAUAAAAGCAAGCAAAGCCAUGGUGAUGUGACCGCUAUGUGCAAGAUUCUUGGCGCUCCCAGUCCCAGCGCAGCAGCAUCGAAGCAAACGAGGUAGAGUAGAAAUUUGGACGUGGUACCCUAGC